rnacentral:rRNA from 1 species
UACGAAGGGUGCAAGCGUUACUCGGAAUUACUGGGCGUAAAGCGUGCGUAGGUGGUGAGGUAAGUCUGUCGUGAAAGCCCCGGGCUCAACCUGGGAAUGGCGAUGGAUACUGGCUCGCUAGAGUGCGGUAGAGGGGGAUGGAAUUCCGCGUGUAGCAGUGAAAUGCGUAGAUAUGCGGAGGAACACCGAUGGCGAAGGCAAUCCCCUGGGCCUGCACUGACGCUCAUGCACGAAAGCGUGGGGAGCAAACAGG